UAUUCCAAUGCCUCCCCUUGUUUUGCAGCUUCACAGGCAAUAGAUGUGUUAACUACUCUGAUCAUUGUGUAUGCAAUUUCCCCUCUCUUUCCUCUCCGCCUUCCAGAUCUCUCAUCGUACCCAACUCUUCCCCUCUAGACGGCAUGAUCUACCCACAGAGAGCCACAUGUUUUCUCGUCAUUGCCGUCCUCAUCCUCCUCCUACCGCUGAUGUCUUCCUAUCUAUGCAUGGCCGCCGCACAUGACCCACUGCAUCAUGCUCCAGGUGGCGACAUUGGUGUGUGGGGUCGUUCAGAUGGGCUGCAUCAUGAAGGGGGAAAGGUGUUUGGGAUGGGGACUGCGAGGCGCUUGGGGCAGAGGAUACCGAUGAAGAACCCUCCCUCACCAGUCCCCAACGAAAACAUGGGGGUGGUGUUACCCCUGACACCACCACCACCAUCGUUGAUCAAUAAACAAGUGUUGGAGGUCCGGGAUACGAGCAUGCCAUGGUGACUUUAGUGCACCUCCUUGUCUGUUGUUGUUGUUGUUGUUGUUGUGUUACAAGAAUAAUUUCACUAUUGUGAAAUAAGUUGGCAUGCUUCAAAGUGUUAAAAUAUAUUGUUCGCUUAUGUAUACCAAUUUGGACUUUUGAGAGAAUGGUGGAAAUAUAAUUUUAUUAUAGUCGGA